rnacentral:rRNA from 1 species
CCUACGGGAGGCAGCAGUGGGGGAUAUUGCACAAUGGGGGGAACCCUGAUGCAGCGACGCCGCGUGGGUGAAGGAGUAUUUCGGUAUGUAAAGCCCUAUCGGCAGGGAAGAAAUUGGACGGUACCUGACUAAGAAGCCCCGGCUAACUACGUGCCAGCAGCCGCGGUAAUACGUAGGGGGCAAGCGUGAUCCGGAUUCACUGGGUGUAAAGGGAGCGUAGACGGCCAUGCAAGCCAGGGGUGAAAGCCCGGGGCCCAACCCCGGGACUGCCCUUGGAACUGCAUGGCUGGAGUGCGGGAGGGGCAGGCGGAAUUCGUGGUGUAGCGGUGAAAUGCGUAGAUAUCAGGAGGAACACCGGCGGCGAAGGCGGCCUGCUGGACCGCGACUGACGUUGAGGCUCGAAAGCGUGGGGAGCGAACAGGAUUAGAUACCCGGGUAGUC